UUCAGUUAACAGUAAUGUCGCUGAUCUUCCUAGUGAUGUUGGCCUGCAUGUUUUAACUUUUAAGCCUACGACCCUAUAUUUUAGUGGAGGAGGAUGCUAUGAUCGGCUGGUGAUGGUUUUGAUGGAUCGUUUUUGUCUCUCUGCGCUACAUCUUCAGGCAGUCUUCUUUGGUUAUAAUGAAUAGAGUGGCCUUUCUUUCAAAUGUAGAUACUACACUGCUUUUUGGCUGUCUCAAGGAGUCUCGUCAUCUGAUCACAGCUGAUAUGGGACCGGGCUCUUGGACUGCCACUAGAGCGGAGAGUGUAAACAUGGAGAGGUUACAUGUCCUCCAAAAGGUGAAACUUUGCAUCUCCGUGGGGCUCUUAAGCUCUCCCUAAACCACCAUAGGUUGGUGUCCCAGUUUUAUAGCAGAGACUAGACUGAUGUGAAACCUGCAGAUUUAGCGAAAGCAAGGUCUAGAAAAAGCUAAAAAGAGUAGUGUCUAUGUAGUAAUCAUGCCUACUGCAGGGAGGCUUCAGACAAAUGCAUGAUGGAUGUUUUAAAAGACAUGAAGAAAUUUAGUUACAUAUUACUAAUUACUUGUUGGAAGAUCUUACAAUUGAUUGGUGAUGGCUUCGACUGAUCCCUGUCAGAUGUCACUCCUAUUCAUGUUAUUCUUCUAUGCUAUGGAGAAUUAGGGUUCCUAUAGCUUCGAACCUCAAUGCCAUGGGUUCCUUAUUACUCGGUCAGGGUUUCGAGCCAGCUAAGCAAUGACCACUAUCUUGGAGGAGAUUUCUGCCACGAUCCAAGAUGAUCGUUGUGGCUUGAAAAGACAGUGUUUUGAAAAUUCUAGGAAUUGUGCCUUUGGUGUUAGUUUUGCGGCCCAUAUUCUUCUUCUUCCUUCCCCUUAGUCUGAAAUCAAAACGAAACAGAGAGGAGUCAGGACUGAGCUUUGGUAAUGAUUAGAGGUCUUUUGGAAGCAAACCAUGAUCCAAUCAUCACGUUUAUUGUCUUCAAGCGUUCUCCGCUCUAACGUCUUCAGGGGUUUUGAUGGAAACGCUUCUUCUCCGUGCUAACGUCUUCUUAACGGGUUUUGGUCUUACUCAUAAGUCUUAACACUGGGCUCAUCAGUGACUUUUAUGGGAUCAUCAGUGAUUGGCUUUGAUAAAAACGCUUCUUCUCCGUGCUAUAACGUCUUCAGACUCACAAGUCUUAAUACUGGGCUUGGUUUAAGAAUUCUGAGAAUUGGGCUCUGGUUUUAGUUGGCCCACCAUAAUUCUUUAUUUCUUCUUUUAGGGUCCAUUAGUUGAUGAGACGCUGUCGUUUUGGAGCAUCGUCUCCUUCCAUCCCCCUUGCCUGAAAACAAAACGGAACGGAGGACUUGAGGAGUGAUGACUGAGGAGUGAGGAUCUGAGCUUUCGGUAUUGAUAAGAGGUGGCCGUUGAUUGAUUCAUUUAUUUAACUCUCUCUCUCUCUCUCUCUCGAGGCGUCUCUUGGUUCAGCCACCGCCUACUUCGCCUGGCGCUACAUCUCCGCCGUUGUUCUCUUGGUUCGUCCCCCUUCUUCUUCCUCUUCGGGUUCGAUUUCCUCUCUCUCUCCUUCUCUCCAGUUUCAUGAUUCGAUUUCCUGCCUGGGGUUUUGGAGGAAGAACAUCAGAUGGUUCUGUGUCUCCUCAUGCUUUUUACAACAUUAUACGCCGACGAGGUUGUUGGAGUUUAUGCAAUGUUUCUCCAGCGGGAUCCACAAUUUGUACUUGUGGCACUGCUUAUCCUGCCUUAGGUCAGGAGAUUUCUUGCUAUAUGGCUCUGGAGCUUGGGAUAAUCAAAGAUCAAACGUUUUGCUGAUUCAAGAGACUGCUCAAGGACGUUAGCCAAGCUUGUGGCCAAUUUGAUAACAACAACGUCUGGUGCAGACCGUGUCCUUGCUUGUCAUCUCCACUCCGAGACAUUCUAUGGACUACUUUGAUUAUGUUUAUGGCCAGUAAUUACCUGCCCAGUAAUUACUUUGCUUUUCUGACUUUUUUCACUUCAUGUGGUUGGUGUCGCGCGAGGGCUCGUCCCAUAAUCUUUCGCAAUGCUUCAAUUGCUUCAAAGCUUGCUGCUGAUACUCCUCUACUUACUGGGCAGCGUGUCCUUGAUGCCCUUUCUCCUUCUAUUUGUGGUGGAUUUGCGCAAUUCCUGUUGCUUCUGGCUGUGGGAAAAUUGUUAUCAGUCAUGCACUUUCCAAGGUGAUGAACUCAUUUGGUGAUAUUAAAGGGAAAGUAGCUAUAAUGGUGGACAACAUGAUCGACACAGCAGGACCUGUGGUCGCAGCUGCAAGAUUUAUUCCGGAACAACAGGUUGUUGGAGCUUAUGCAAUGUUUCUCCAGCGGGAUCCAUACAAAGUCCUUCGGUUUCCAUCUGCUUACACACAAUUUGUACUUCUGGUACUGCUUAUCCUGCCUUAAUUAGCUCAGGAUAUUUCUUGCUAUUUGGCUCUGGAGCUUGGGAUAAUCAAAGAUCAAACGUUUUGCUGAUGCAAGAGACUGCUCAAGGACGUUAACCAAGCUUGUGGCCAAUUUUAUAACAACACAGUCUGGUGCAGGCCGUGUCCUUGCUUGUCAUCUUCAUUCCGUCCGAGACAGUCUAUGGGCUACUUUGAUCAUGUUUAUGUCCAGCCUAUGAUAAUUAAUAAGGCCAUACCCUCUGAUGAUUUGGUGGUAGUUUCACUUCAUGUUGGUAGUGUCGCGCGAGGGCUCGUCCCAUAAUCUUUCACAAUGCUUCAGAGCUGGCCUGUACGUAUGCCUAGGACAGUUGCUUCAAAGCUUGCUGCUGAUACUCCUCUACUUACUGGGCAGCGAUGCCCUUUCCACUUCAGUUUGUGGUGGAACCUGCGCCAUUCCUGGUGCUUCUAGCUGUGGGAAAAUUGUUAUCAGUUAUGCACUUUUCAAGGACCGUCUGAAGACACUCAAGUCAGAAUAUUUCUUUCUAUCUGGGUAUAGAGCUUGGGAGAAUCAAGAUUAA